GAUGAACGCUGGCGGCGUGCUUAACACAUGCAAGUCGAACGGAAAGGCCCAAGCUUGCUUGGGUGCUCGAGUGGCGAACGGGUGAGUAACACGUGGGUGAUCUGCCCUGCACUUUGGGAUAAGCCUGGGAAACUGGGUCUAAUACCGGAUAGGACCAUCGUUUAGUGUCGGUGGUGGAAAGUUUUUCGGUGUGGGAUGAGCUCGCGGCCUAUCAGCUUGUUGGUGGGGUAAUGGCCUACCAAGGCGUCGACGGGUAGCCGGCCUGAGAGGGUGUACGGCCACAUUGGGACUGAGAUACGGCCCAGACUCCGACGGGAGGCAGCAGUGGGGAAUAUUGCACAAUGGGCGCAAGCCUGAUGCAGCGACGCCGCGUGGGGGAUGACGGCCUUCGGGUUGUAAACUCCUUUCGCCAAGGACGAAGCGUUUUGUGACGGUACUUGGAGAAGAAGCACCGGCUAACUACGUG
rnacentral:rRNA from 1 species